GAUGAACGCUGGCGGCGUGCCUAAUACAUGCAAGUCGAGCGAACAGACGAGGAGCUUGCUCCUCUGACGUUAGCGGCGGACGGGUGAGUAACACGUGGAUAACCUACCUAUAAUACUGGGAUAACUUCGGGAAACCGGAGCUAAUACCGGAUAAUAUAUUGAACCGCAUGGUUCAAUAGUGAAAGACGGUUUUGCUGUCACUUAUAGAUGGAUCCGCGCCCCAUUAGCUAGUUGGUAAGGUAACGGCUUACCAAGGCGACGAUGCGUAGCCGACCUGAUAGGGUGAUCGGCCACACUGGAACUGAGACACGGUCCAGACUCCUACGGGAGGCAGCAGUAGGGAAUCUUCCGCAAUGGGCGAAAGCCUGACGCAGCAACGCCGCGUGAGUGAUGAAGGUCUUCGGAUCGUAAAACUCUGUUAUUAGGGAAGAACAAAUGUGUAAGUAACUAUGCACGUCCUGACGGUACCUAAUCAGAAAGCAACGGCUAACUACGUG
rnacentral:rRNA from 1 species